rnacentral:rRNA from 1 species
ACGCUCGACACCUACUGGAGGCAGCAGUGGGGAAUAUUGCACAAUGGGGGAAACCCUGAUGCAGCGACGCCGCGUGAGUGAAGAAGUAUUUCGGUAUGUAAAGCUCUAUCAGCAGGGAAGAAAAUGACGGUACCUGACUAAGAAGCCCCGGCUAACUACGUGCCACGCAGCCGCGGUAAUCUGAGCGGGCGUGGCAAGGC